UACGGAGGGGGCUAGCGUUGUUCGGAAUUACUGGGCGUAAAGCGCACGUAGGCGGACGGAGAAGUCAGAGGUGAAAAUCCCCAGGGCUCAACCUUGGAACUGCCUUUUGAAAACUUUUCUGUCUUGAGGUCGAGAGAGGUGAGUGGAAUUCCGAGUGUAGAGGUGAAAAUUCGUAGAUAUUCGGAGGAACACCAGUGGCGAAGGCGGCUCACUGGCUCGAUACUGACGCUGAGGUGCGAAAGCGUGGGGAGCAAACAGG
rnacentral:rRNA from 1 species